AUGAACUCUUGUCCUGAACUGGUGAUUGCACUCUUCUUAAUGUUUGGAGGAAGCAAUGGAGACUCGGUGACUCAGACAGAAGGCCUAGUGACACUCUCUGAAGGGGCUUCUCUGACUGUGAACUGUUCCUAUGAAACCACACAGUACCCAGCCCUGUUCUGGUAUGUGCAGUAUCCCGGAGAAGGGCCACAACUCCUCCUUAGAGCCUCAAAGGCCAACGAGAAGGGAAGCAGCAGAGGUUUUGAAGCUACAUAUGAGAAAGAAACCACGUCCUUCCACUUACAGAAAGCCUCAGUGCAAGAGUCAGACUCGGCUGUGUACUACUGUGCUCUGAGUGACACAGUGGCAGAAACCACAGCGGGAGCAGAGCACAAACUCUGAGAAUCAGGGGGCUGGCUGCUGAGUGUGUCUACGAUCACUCAUUUAGGGUCCAUGGGCAGGUCUGCUAUUGUUGAUACCACACAAGAAAGCAUCCAAAUUAACACUAGGAACACAUUAGGAGAACAGUAAGAAAGCAUGCCGCACUUUAGGCUUAAUCAGAGAGAAUGAAGGCAGUCACACAUCACAGUGAUUUCCUUUUUUUGUUUUUGUUUUGUAGUUGGGACUUUAUGUAGCCCAGGCUGGCC